GUUGAUCAGAAACAGCUGGCCUCCAUUAUCUUUUCAUUUCCCAUCACCGACCUAGCCAUUAAUAGUAGCAGAUUUCCCCAAAUCUUUUUGCCGUUUGCUACUCCUUCCAACAGUCACCUCUUUGCUCUUAAUCUUAAUAUCUUGGAUUCAUCCUCUCCGCUGCUUGUCGGACGGUAUUCGGAAUCGCCCCAGCCAGGUAAUGUUCUUCUCCCUUCUUUAAAGCUUCUAUUGCAACCAAAUGGGCAAAAAUAUUAUCAGUUCUCGGAAUAUAACAAAAACAAAUACUAUUAAAAUUGGUUUUAAUCUCUUGAAUAUCUUUGAUGAUUGCUCCGAUGACCGAUCUGUCUUGUUCUGAACUCUGACACUUUUUGAUAAUCGUUUUCGAAUCUCCCAUUAUUUGUAAAUCUUUAACCCCAUAGAUCUUCCUAACACUAGGGCUUGUGACCCUGCAUGUGUUUCUACCGCGGAUGGAGUUGCAAUGUUGGUAUGGAUAACUGACUUUGAGACCAAAAUCUCCCCACCCUCGCCUCGAACAAUCAGUCCCGAAGCAUAUCUUGCAUUUUGCUGAUCAAAGGCCGCAUCAAAGUAGACUGAGAUUCUCGUACAUCUCUCAACAGUUCGCGGAACACCAUCUCCUGCCAAAUAAUCCAAAGCCCGCAACAGAAAAGUCGGCACUGUUCGUUUGUCCCGCGACUAAAAACCCAUAGCAUCCACGAAAAAUAUGAUUACAGUCCUCCUCUUCCAGUUUGCAUCGAGGACAUCGAGCAUCUGUAACUGUUCAUUUGAUCUUCAAAUUAGCAAAAGUAGGAAUGUAAUUCCAAGAGAUUCCCAAUAUUGUAACUUUGAUUUUCGGGGGAAUUUGUAAAUCCCAUAGUUUUUUGUAAAAAAAUUUAGUCUCAGUUUGUAAAUCAAUAGGAUUUUGAGUACCCUCCUGUAAUAGUUUGUAGGCGCUCUGAACCGAAAAUUUGCCAGAGGGUUCUCUUCUCCAGACUUGGAAAUCUUCAUUUGCUGUCGUUGCCAAUGGAAUUUGCAAGAUCUUUUUAACAACUUCCGCAUUGAAGAGGUCCUCCCAAAUAGAAAUACGAUCCCCUUUGCCAACUCUCCAGUAGAGACCUUUUUCAAGAAUACCUUUUGCCGACCAGAUACUCUUCCAGGUGAGCGAAGGUAAAUUUCCUAAUUGAGCCGUUAGAAAACACGCAUUCGAAUAAUAUUUAGCUUUCAAUACUCGGGCUAACAAAGAAUCUGGAAAAUUAAUAAGACGCCAACCCUGUUUAGCUAAUAAUGCAAUAUUAAAUUUAUCAAGUUUUCUAAAACCAAGGCCACCUGCUUCUUUCAAGACACACACAUCCUUCCAAGCACACCAAUGGAUCCCCUUCUUUCCCCGAUUUUUCCCCACCAGAAUCUGGCUAUUAUACCUUCCAACUCGUUACAAAGAGACUUAGGAAGUAAAAAACACGCCAUAGAAUAAGUUGGAAUUGACUGUAAUACUACCUUAAUAAAAACCUCUUUUCCACCUUGAGAGAGGUAUUUAACACUCCAGUUAUCAAUUCUUUGUUUUAAUCUGUCCUUUUAGCUUUGAAAAGCUGCUUUCUUUCCUCUGCCCACUAAAUUUGGAAGUCCUAAAUACCUUUCUGGAUUAUUCGAUCUACGAACACCAAGCAUUCGAACAAUAACUCUUUUUUCUUCCUCCUGUGUAUUUGUACUGAAGAAGAUUGUGGAUUUAUUAUAAUUAACACAUUGGCCAGAACUGAGCUCAUAUUCC